UACGUAGGGUGCAAGCGUUGUCCGGAAUUAUUGGGCGUAAAGAGCUCGUAGGCGGUCUGUCGCGUCGGCUGUGAAAACCCGAGGCUCAACCUCGGGCCUGCAGUCGAUACGGGCAAACUGGAGUGUUGCAGGGGAGACUGGAAUUCCUGGUGUAGCGGUGAAAUGCGCAGAUAUCAGGAGGAACACCGGUGGCGAAGGCAGGUCUCUGGGCCACUACUGACGCUGAGAAGCGAAAGCAUGGGGAGCGAACAGG
rnacentral:rRNA from 1 species